UCCCAAAAUGCUGGUAUUACAGACCUGAGCCACUGUGCCCAGCCCAGCCGAUGCUUACUAAUGAACCAUCCAAGGUGGUUCAUUCAUUAGAGAAUUAGCCAGAUCCCUGGAUUUUUCUCUCUUCUUUUACCUGUUCUUUUCUAGGGUAACCAACUGUCCAAGUCUACUUGAGACCAAAGGAUUUCCCAGGACACAAGAUAGGCAUAUAUGUGUGCGCGCGCACACACACGUAUGUCCAGCAUUCUUCUCGCUCCAGUAGACUACAGCCUCCUUCAAGGAAGGAUCUCUUUGUUCUUCUGUAUCAGCUGCCGCAUUGAAGAUACUUUGUUGAAAAUGAACAAACUGAGCCUGUCACUUCAAUAAAAAACAACUGAUAGUAUUUGUGGCCAAUUAUGAAGUUUCAGUUUUAAAGCAGAAUUAGAACUUUGCAAAACUUGCAUGUGCUGCUGUUAGUGUGAUGGCUGCCCGAUACGGAAAGGCUUUUCAGGGGAAAAGUUAACUGGAAGGUCUUCAAGGGAGACAGCUCUUUGGCUGUGGAGCUGGCCCACAUCUCACCCUCCACCGGUGGAGGGAGCCCAGCCCAUCCUUCUUCACCCCUGUUGAUGGGUAUUCAACUCAGGUUCCUGCAUGCACGGUUGAUAUGGAGAGUGAAAUGGGCAAGACCUAAGGGUUCUGAUACCCUGAUCUUCUCUGGUAUCACAGAAGCUCUCCUGGCAAGGACAAAAGAAAGAGGUUGGUCAUAGGCUGGGCAUGGUGGCUCAUGCCUGUAGUCCUAGCACUUUGGGAGGCCGAGGGGUCCAAUCACCUGAGGUCAGGAGUUGAAGACCAGCCUGGCCAACAUAAUGAAACCCUGUCUCUACUGAAAAUAUAAAAUUACCGGGGUGUGGUGGUGGGUGCCUAUAAUCCCAGCUAUUCGGAAGGCUGAGGCAGGAGAAUCUCUUGAACCCUGGAGGCAGAGGUUGCAGUGAGCCGAGAUUGCGCCAUUGCACUCCAGCCUGGGCAACAGGAGCAAAACUGUUUCAAAAAAAAAAAAAAAAAGGGCCAGGUGUGGUGGUUCAUGCCUAUAAUUCCAGCACUUUGGGAGGCCGAGGCGGGCGGAUCACCUGAGGUCACGAGUUCUAAACCAGCCUGACCAACAUGGUGAAACCCCAUCUGUACUAAAAAUACAAAAAAUUAGCCGAGUGCAGUGGCACGUGCCUGUAAUCCCAGCUACUCAGGAGGUUGAGGCAAGAGAAUCGCUUGAACCUGGGAGGCAGAGGUUGUGGUGAGGCGAGAUCGUGCCAUUGCACUCCAGCCUGGGUGGCAGAGCAAGACUUCAUCUAAAAGGAAAAAAAUAAGAAGAAAGAAAGCGGUUGGUCCUGAGGAGAGAGGAGCCUUCCAGAAGUAUCCAUGCCUUCCUGGAAGACUCAGCGGAGAACCAGGCUAAUCUCGGGGAUAAAAGGAUUAAAGGCACGGCUCAGCCUUCCAAGGGCAAGGGUUGGAAUGGCUGCCCUGAUCUGGGACAUGGAGUUGUCUCUCUUGGGAGAGUAAAGACGGAGGCUUUUUGGGGACAGGAUGCGGGGGGGCAGGUGGGUGACUCUGUACCACUCCUGUUGGCACUUCCUCCCCUGGUGCUGCUGAGGCUGGUCUGUCAGGUGCUGAGGAGGUGCUUCCUAGCUCCAGACACUGGGCAGUGGGAGGUGGAUGCCUGGGGAAACAGCUUGUCUGAGAGGAAGGCCUGAGGUUCCUGGGGAGAAACUAUCUCACUUCCUCUUUUCUCCGGCUGAAAUGCCACACAGCCUUCCUUGGGGGCCAGUGGCGGAUCUGGGCCUGCCCCAUAGAAGUUUGAGAGGCUGCUACAUACAGGAGACCGGAGUGGUCAGGAGGAAUGCAGGAGCCCCGGUGGCCUAAUCCCCAGGGCCUGGAAGGAGGGUGUGGCUGGUACAGACUAGGACUGCAGUUUCACCAACAAAAACCCCUCUAAAGCCUGGAGGCCAGGAUGUGUGAAUUAUAGGCCUGGCCUGAGGGAGCCUUGGGCCUCACACCCUCUAGGGUAGAUAAGGAUGGAUCAAAGGAAACUGCAGGGGCCCACCCCUCAUAAAGGGGACCCGCUGCCCGGUGGCUAGAGUGAUAAGGCAGAUGAUAUAUAUGCACGGAGAUUUUGGAGCCUCCUGCACAAACAUUCCCCUGUGUGUGAGCCGGCCUCGUGCCUCCCCGGCACAGCCCAUCACCCCAGUGUUGCUGGGUCUUUCAUCCUGCCAAAUCAUCUAGUAGAAUUCCUUCCAGCCCUUCUCCUCUGCUGGCUUAUCCUGUGGAGUCCAGGUUGGCCUUUGAGGACCUGCUCCCCCUGGCGGGACAUUGUGCCUGUCUCGUGCCAGGCUUUGGGGUCAGCCAACUUUGCUACAGCCUCUAAAAAAAAAUCUGAUCCCUGGCUGGGCUUGGUGGCUCAUGCCUGUAAUCCCAGCACCUUGGGAAGCCUAGGCAGGCAGACUGUCUGAGGUCAGGAGUUUGAGACCAGCCUGGCCAACGUGGUAAGGCCCCGUCUCUACUAAAAAUACCCACACAAAAAAAUUAGCCAGGCGUGGUGGCAGGCGCCUGUAAUCCCAGCUACUUGGGAGGCUGAGGCAGGGGAAUUGCUUGAAUCAGGGAGGUGGAAGUUGUAGAGAGCCAAGAUUGCGCCACUACACUCUAGCCUAGGCCACAGAGUGAGACUCUGUCUCAAAAAAAAAGAAAAAAAGACAAAAAAUCUGACCCCUAAGCCCUGGGGAGAAGUGUAGCUUUCGCUGGAGGUCUUAUGGUGGUACAGAAGAGAGGGUCACACCACACGUUAAUCACCCAGCAACACUAGGCAUCAGACUCCCCUGCCCUGAAGAUGUUUCUACCCUUUCUGGCAUCCCUGUUCAUUGGCACUGGGCUCCCAGGCCUCCUCUUCCCUUCCUGCUGUUUUUUCGGACUUAAAAGCCCGUCUGCUCUCCCAGGUAAUGUGGCCUUUCUCAGAUCUUUCUCCCAGGCCUCCCUGGAAUUUCCCUUAGCUUGAGGAUUGCAGUUUUCACUCAGCAGACAAAACCAGAGCAGAGCUCAGCAAACAGCUGCACUGUGAUGGCCUGCAGGUUCCUACACCUGCCUGGGGAAUCCCCCUCGCUUCAUCCCACCACACCUAAAGAAAAGGAGAGCCGCAGGAGGUCUGACGGUGGGUGCACGGGGCCCAGCUGGGAGGCCUGCCCAAGCUCCUGCCUAUGCUGGCCUUUGUUCCUGGGGCAUUUCCAAAGCUCAGGGCUUGGGCUUUGUCCAUUCUCAGGAACCGGGAAAUGAUGCCUGACCACCCCAAACCCAGCAAUCUUUCCUGCUUCCAAACAAAGAGGCCUUUUGAUUUUACAUACUCUCUUGGCCCUUACAUGCCAAAAGGUCUUGGGUAAUAAAAAGAAGAUUAUCAGCAAACACUCACAGAGCACUUACUAUGUUCCAGGUGCUAUUUUAAAUGUUAUAGUUAUUAACUCAUUUAAUCCCAGGAGUUGAGACGGGCUGUCUGGUUUCCUUCGCUAUAUAGUGAAAGGCUCAGGGGCAGGGAGAGGGUGGCACAUUUUUGUAUUCUCUCCAUUCCUUACACUCCAGGAAUGUUUGCAGACUGACUCAGCCUGCUCUGGGGAGGUCGUAGUGGAUCCUGGUUACUCACUUUCCCUUUCUUUUCCAACAGGGCUGUGUUCCACCCCUUUCCUGUUCUCUCAGGGAGAAAGAGUGGAAUGGUAGGACACGGUGUGAAGGGGUUUCCAGAUCCCCAGAUGGCAGGUGGGACAGCUUGCCUGCCCAUCAAAGAAGUUGCCUCCUGGAGACACAUCUGGGCAUUCUGGCAGGAGGAGCAAGAGAGGCACUGUGUGUGUGUGUGUGUGAUUGUGUGCAUGAGUGUGCAAGUGUGUAUGUGUGUAUGUAUAAGAGUGUGUGUGUGAGAGAGAGUGUGGGUGGGUGAGUGUGUGUGUGUGAUAGUGUGAGUGUGUGUGAGUGUAUUUGUGUGUAUGUAUGUGAGUGUGGGUGACUGAAAGUGUGUAAUGAGUUGGGUUUCCUUUUCACGCUUUCCUGGAUUUGCUACCAUGAUCAACUAUGACUUUUACACUCUCAAUAGGGAAAUUAACUGCUAAGGAGGCUGAGACUGGAGGACCACUUGAACCCAGAAGGUUGAGGCUGUAGUGAGCCACUGCCCUCCAGCCUGGACAACAGAGCAAGACCAUGUCUCAAAAAAAAUAAAUAAAUAAAAGAGAGUGAGAAAGAGAUGCAGAGUUAGA